GAUCCUGGCUCAGAACGAACGCUAGCGGCAUGCCUCAAACAUGCAAGUCGAACGAGAACUCCUUCGGGAACUAUUAAAGUGGCGCACGGGUGCGUAACACGUAGCUAACGUGCCCUCGCUGGGGAUAACUCCGGGAAACCGGAGCUAAUACCGAAUGAUCUGACGGAGUCUGCGGUCUUUCGGUAAAGCCUUCGGGCGCGAGAGGAUCGGGCUGCGUCCCAUUAGUUUGAUGGGGGUAACGGCCUACCAUGGCUACGAUGGGUAGCUGGUCUGAGAGGAUGAUCAGCCACAGGAACUGAAACACGGUCCAGACACCCACGGGUGGCAGCAGUUGGGAAUAUUGGACAAUGGGAAACCCUGAUCCAGCAAUGCCGCGUGAGUGAUGAAGGCCUUAGGGUCGUAAAGCUUUCAGCAGGGAAGAAUAACUGACGGUACCUGCAGAAGAAGCACCGGCUAACUCCGUGCGCAGCCGCGGUAAUACGGAGGGUGCGAGCGUUGUUCGGAAUCAUUGGGCGUAAAGCGCGUAGGCGGCUUUGUAAGUCUGGUGUGAAAGCCCGGGGCUUAACCCCGGAAGUGCACUGUACUGCAUAGCUAGAGGACGAGAGAGGGAAGCGGAAUUCCUGGUGUAGGGGUGAAAUCUAGAUAUCAGGAGGAACACCGGAAGCGAAGGCGGCUUCCUGGCUCGUUUCUGACGCUGACGCGAAAGCGUGGGGAGCAAACAGGAUUAGAUACCCUGGUAGUCCACGCCCUAAACGGGAUACUAGUCGUCGGAACUCCUAAUAGUUUCGGUGACGUCGCUAACGCAUUAAGUAUCGCCUGGGGAUUACGGUCGCAAGAUUAAAACUCAAAGGAAUUGACGGGGGCCCGCACACGGUGGAGCAUGUGGUUUAAUUCGAUGCUACGCGAAAAACCUUACCUGGGCUUGACAUCGGGCUACCCUGGGAAACCAGGGGUUCCCUUCGGGGACCCGGUGACAGGUGCUGCAUGUGUCGUCAGCUCGUGUUGUGAGAUGUUGGGUUAAGUCCCGCAACGAGCGCAACCCUCGGUUAGUUACCAUCAUUAAGUUGGGCACUCUAACGGGACCGCUAGGCUAUAAGCCAGAGAGGUGGGGAUGACGUCAAGUCCUCAUGGCCUUUAUGUCCAGGGCUACACACGUGCUACUGGGAGUGACAAAGCGCUGCAAGCUCGCAAGAGCAAGCUAAUCGCAAAAACGCUCCCAGUUCGGAUUGGAGUCUGCAACUCGACUCCAUGAAGCUGGAAUCGCUAGUAAUCGCGGAAGCAUGCCGCGGUGAAUACGUUCCCGGGCCUUGUACACACCGCCCGUCACACCAUGGGUUGGUUGUACCGGAAACCGUUUUGCUAACCCCUGUUGUUUACAAUGGGGGAAGCGAGCUUAUGGUAUGGCUGAUGACUGGGGGAAGUC
rnacentral:rRNA from 1 species